rnacentral:rRNA from 1 species
UACGGAGGGGGCUAGCGUUGUUCGGAAUUACUGGGCGUAAAGCGCACGUAGGCGGCUUUGUAAGUCGGAGGUGAAAGCCUGGAGCUCAACUCCAGGACUGCCUUUGAGACUGCAUCGCUCGAAUCCGGUAGAGGUGAGUGGAAUUCCGGGUGUAGAGGUGAAAUUCGUAGAUAUUCGGAAGAACACCAGUGGCGAAGGCGGCUCUCUGGCCCGGUAUUGACGCUGAGGUGCGAAAGCGUGGGGAGCAAACAGG